GGCCGUGCGGCUAGUAUCGUCAAGCACUCAGUUGUAUCGUGCUGAGGAACGCGGGUUCGAUUCCCGCCGCAGCUG
rnacentral:tRNA from 1 species